rnacentral:rRNA from 1 species
AGCUCGAUGAGUAGGGCGGGACACGUGGUAUCCUGUCUGAAUAUGGGGGGACCAUCCUCCAAGGCUAAAUACUCCUGACUGACCGAUAGUGAACCAGUACCGUGAGGGAAAGGCGAAAAGAACCCCGGCGAGGGGAGUGAAAAAGAACCUGAAACCGUGUACGUACAAGCAGUGGGAGCACGCUUCGGCGUGUGACUGCGUACCUUUUGUAUAAUGGGUCAGCGACUUAUAUUCUGUAGCAAGGUUAACCGAAUAGGGGAGCCGAAGGGAAACCGAGUCUUAACUGGGCGUUAAGUUGCAGGGUAUAGACCCGAAACCCGGUGAUCUAGCCAUGGGCAGGUUGAAGGUUGGGUAACACUAACUGGAGGACCGAACCGACUAAUGUUGAAAAAUUAGCGGAUGACUUGUGGCUGGGGGUGAAAGGCCAAUCAAACCGGGAGAUAGCUGGUUCUCCCCGAAAGCUAUUUAGGUAGCGCCUCGUGAAUUCAUCUCCGGGGGUAGAGCACUGUUUCGGCAAGGGGGUCAUCCCGACUUACCAACCCGAUGCAAACUGCGAAUACCGGAGAAUGUUAUCACGGGAGACACACGGCGGGUGCUAACGUCCGUCGUGAAGAGGGAAACAACCCAGACCGCCAGCUAAGGUCCCAAAGUCAUGGUUAAGUGGGAAACGAUGUGGGAAGGCCCAGACAGCCAGGAUGUUGGCUUAGAAGCAGCCAUCAUUUAAAGAAAGCGUAAUAGCUCACUGGUCGAGUCGGCCUGCGCGGAAGAUGUAACGGGGCUAAACCAUGCACCGAAGCUGCGGCAGCGACGCUGAUGCGUUGUUGGGUAGGGGAGCGUUCUGUAAGCCUGCGAAGGUGUGCUGUGAGGCAUGCUGGAGGUAUCAGAAGUGCGAAUGCUGACAUAAGUAACGAUAAAGCGGGUGAAAAGCCCGCUCGCCGGAAGACCAAGGGUUCCUGUCCAACGUUAAUCGGGGCAGGGUGAGUCGACCCCUAAGGCGAGGCCGAAAGGCGUAGUCGAUGGGAAACAGGUUAAUAUUCCUGUACUUGGUGUUACUGCGAAGGGGGGACGGAGAAGGCUAUGUUGGCCGGGCGACGGUUGUCCCGGUUUAAGCGUGUAGGCUGGUUUUCCAGGCAAAUCCGGAAAAUCAAGGCUGAGGCGUGAUGACGAGGCACUACGGUGCUGAAGCAACAAAUGCCCUGCUUCCAGGAAAAGCCUCUAAGCAUCAGGUAACAUCAAAUCGUACCCCAAACCGACACAGGUGGUCAGGUAGAGAAUACCAAGGCGCUUGAGAGAACUCGGGUGAAGGAACUAGGCAAAAUGGUGCCGUAACUUCGGGAGAAGGCACGCUGAUAUGUAGGUGAGGUCCCUCGCGGAUGGAGCUGAAAUCAGUCGAAGAUACCAGCUGGCUGCAACUGUUUAUUAAAAACACAGCACUGUGCAAACACGAAAGUGGACGUAUACGGUGUGACGCCUGCCCGGUGCCGGAAGGUUAAUUGAUGGGGUCAGCGCAAGCGAAGCUCUUGAUCGAAGCCCCGGUAAACGGCGGCCGUAACUAUAACGGUCCUAAGGUAGCGAAAUUCCUUGUCGGGUAAGUUCCGACCUGCACGAAUGGCGUAAUGAUGGCCAGGCUGUCUCCACCCGAGACUCAGUGAAAUUGAACUCGCUGUGAAGAUGCAGUGUACCCGCGGCAAGACGGAAAGACCCCGUGAACCUUUACUAUAGCUUGACACUGAACAUUGAGCCUUGAUGUGUAGGAUAGGUGGGAGGCUUUGAAGUGUGGACGCCAGUCUGCAUGGAGCCGACCUUGAAAUACCACCCUUUAAUGUUUGAUGUUCUAACGUUGACCCGUAAUCCGGGUUGCGGACAGUGUCUGGUGGGUAGUUUGACUGGGGCGGUCUCCUCCUAAAGAGUAACGGAGGAGCACGAAGGUUGGCUAAUCCUGGUCGGACAUCAGGAGGUUAGUGCAAUGGCAUAAGCCAGCUUGACUGCGAGCGUGACGGCGCGAGCAGGUGCGAAAGCAGGUCAUAGUGAUCCGGUGGUUCUGAAUGGAAGGGCCAUCGCUCAACGGAUAAAAGGUACUCCGGGGAUAACAGGCUGAUACCGCCCAAGAGUUCAUAUCGACGGCGGUGUUUGGCACCUCGAUGUCGGCUCAUCACAUCCUGGGGCUGAAGUAGGUCCCAAGGGUAUGGCUGUUCGCCAUUUAAAGUGGUACGCGAGCUGGGUUUAGAACGUCGUGAGACAGUUCGGUCCCUAUCUGCCGUGGGCGCUGGAGAACUGAGGGGGGCUGCUCCUAGUACGAGAGGACCGGAGUGGACGCAUCACUGGUGUUCGGGUUGUCAUGCCAAUGGCACUGCCCGGUAGCUAAAUGCGGAAGAGAUAAGUGCUGAAAGCAUCUAAGCACGAAACUUGCCCCGAGAUGAGUUCUCCCUGACCCUUUAAGGGUCCUGAAGGAACGUUGAAGACGACGACGUUGAUAGGCCGGGUGUGUAAGCGCAGCGAUGCGUUGAGCUAACCGGUACUAAUGAACCGUGAGGCUUAACCUUACAACGCCGAAGCUGUU